UAUUUUUUUUUCAUGUACAUUUGAAAAAUUAUUAAAUAAAGACGCAAAAAAAUAAGAAACAGAAUAGCAUUAAGACUUCGUUUGAAACUGCAAGGAGAUUGCUUUACGUGUGAUGAGAAAGUACGAUAAAAAAAUAUCAUAUUUGUUUCCGUAUGUAAUAUUGUGUUCUGCAUAUUCUGUGGUCCCAUCCGAGAACGCAGAAGUAUAUUUCUAUAUGUUUUCAUCUUAAUUUUAUUUUAUCUAAUAACGCUAAAUAUAUCUCAAUACCAAACUAAGCCUAAAAGAAAAAAAAAGUUAUCCAUAAAAAACAAAAAAAA
rnacentral:lncRNA from 1 species